AGUGAACGCUGGCGGUAGGCCUAACACAUGCAAGUCGAACGGCAGCACAGUAAGAGCUUGCUCUUACGGGUGGCGAGUGGCGGACGGGUGAGGAAUACAUCGGAAUCUACUUUUUCGUGGGGGAUAACGUAGGGAAACUUACGCUAAUACCGCAUACGACCUACGGGUGAAAGCAGGGGAUCUUCGGACCUUGCGCGAUUGAAUGAGCCGAUGUCGGAUUCGCUGGUUGGCGGGGUAAAGGCCCACCAAGGCGACGAUCCGUAGCUGGCCUGAGAGGAUGGUCGGCCACACUGGAACUGAGACACGGUCCAUGCUCCUACGGGAGGCAGCAGUGUGGAAUAUUGGACAGUGGGCGCAAACCUUGUCCAGCCAUACCGCGUGGGUGAAGAAGGCCUUCGGGUUGUAAAGCCCUUUUGUUGGGAAAGAAAAGCAGCAGGUUAAUACCCCGCUGUUCUGACGGUACCCAAAGAAUAAGCACCGGCUAACUUCGUG
rnacentral:rRNA from 1 species